rnacentral:rRNA from 1 species
AGCAGCCGCGGUAAUUCCAGCUCCAAUAGCGUAUAUUAAAGUUGUUGCAGUUAAAAAGCUCGUAGUUGAAUUUCAGGCCUGGCUGGACGGUCCGCCCUUCGGGUGAGUACUGUCUGUGGUCGGGUCCUACCUUCUGGCGAAGCGUCAUGGCCUUAACCGGCCGUGGCGGGGAACCAGGACUUUUACUGUGAAAAAAUUAGAGUGUUCAAAGCAGGCAAAUCGCUUGGAUACAUUAGCAUGGAAUAAUGGAAUAGGACAAUGGUUCUAUUUGUUGGUUUCUAGGACCGUUGUAAUGAUUAAUAGGGAUAGUUGGGGGCAUUAGUAUUCAAUUGUCAGAGGUGAAAUUCUUGGAUUUAUUGAAGACUAACUACUGCGAAAGCAUUUGCCAAGGAUGUUCUCAUUAAUCAAGAACGAAAGUUAGGGGAUCGAAGACGAUCAGAUACCGUCGUAGUCUUAACCAUAAACUAUGCCGACCAGGAAUCGGGCGAUGUUGAAAAAAUGACGC